rnacentral:ncRNA from 2 species
AGCUCAUCAAGAGAGGUGGAGGGACUGGCCCUGUGAAGCCCGGCAACCGCGUAAAGGCGGUGCCAAUUCCGACAGGUAUUUUUUAAAAAUUACCUGAGAGAUGAGAG